AUUUGCUUCAGUUUCUUUGUGCGGGAAAGGCAAUUUUCGUUUAUUUGCUUCAGUUUGUAAGUAAAAUUUUGGGUAUGUUGUCUUGUGUUGCAGAAUGUUCUGUGCGCCGAAGACGAGGAGGACGAGGAUCGUGAGUGUCUAGACACUCACUCACUGCAUAGCGCAAGUGAGUGGCGCAUCUUGUUCUGUGAGUCGGAGUCGUUAUCCGCCGCCAGGGGGAGAGGGAGGGGGCACAUGCGCAAUUUGACUACAAGGGGGGGCGGAUUACCCGAGGAUGAUGAGCCCCCCUCCCAACUUCCAAUGCUCUUUCAUUCAUCUGCUCGUCUUUUCGUUCGUUGGUAUUAUUUCAUCCAUUGUCGGCGUGGAUGUGAUUGGCUCCUUGCUCUCUUCAAUUUGGACUUUGAGAUUUCCAUGACGUCAUGACACACUUUGAGAUACCACUUUGAUAAUACUUCAUAAGACCAUGGUUAUCAUUCUCAA